UAGAUCAGAAACUCAUCUUUCCACCUGAGAUCCUUCCAACUAGCCUCAGGCCGGACCUGGUCUUGUGGUCAACCACCCAGAAGGUUGUGCUCAUAAUCGAACUAACUGUACCAUGGGAGGCAGCAGUUGGUGAAGCAUAUGAGCGCAAACGUCUGAAGUAUGCGGACAUAGCAGCUGAGGCAGAGCAACGCGGCUGGAGUGCCCGGGUGCUUCCGAUUGAGGUCGGGUGUAGAGGCUUCGUUGCCACGUCCACAACCAAGCUUCUGAAGAGAAUGGGAGUACGAGGACAGGCCUUCCGACGAGCCAUCAAAUCAAUAUCAGAGGCUGCCGAACGAAGCAGCAGAUGGCUCUGGAUCAAGAGAAAGGACCCCACCUGGGCUGCAAAAUGACCACCUAGGGGUAAAAGCAGAGGGGGGCACACCUGGGACGCCAGGUGUCGCCGUUGAGCCCCCUGGAGGUGUCGUGGGCCUAUCAAUGAAACACCAGUGAAGGGGGGUGCCCACCUGAAGACCCCAAUGAAGCAUUUACCCCUUACC